UACGUAGGGGCAAGCGUUGUCCGGAUUUAUUGGGCGUAAAGAGCGUGUAGGCGGCCAGGUAGGUCCGUUGUGAAAACUGGAGGCUUAACCUCCAGCUGUCGAUGGAAACCAUCUGGCUAGAGUCCGGAAGAGGAGAGUGGAAUUCCUGGUGUAGCGGUGAAAAUGCGCAGAUAUCAGGAAGAACACCCGUGGCGAAGGCGGCUCUCGUGGGACGGUACUGACGCUGAGACGCGAAAGCGUGGGGAGCAAACAGG
rnacentral:rRNA from 1 species